rnacentral:rRNA from 2 species
GAGUGGCGGACGGGUGAGUAACACGUAGGUAACCUGCCCAGAAGCGGGGGACAACAUUUGGAAACAGAUGCUAAUACCGCAUAACAGCGUUGUUCGCAUGAACAACGCUUAAAAGAUGGCUUCUCGCUAUCACUUCUGGAUGGACCUGCGGUGCAUUAGCUUGUUGGUGGGGUAAUGGCCUACCAAGGCGAUGAUGCAUAGCCGAGUUGAGAGACUGAUCGGCCACAAUGGGACUGAGACACGGCCCAUACUCCUACGGGAGGCAGCAGUAGGGAAUCUUCCACAAUGGGCGCAAGCCUGAUGGAGCAACACCGCGUGAGUGAAGAAGGGUUUCGGCUCGUAAAGCUCUGUUGUUAAAGAAGAACACGUAUGAGAGUAACUGUUCAUACGUUGACGGUAUUUAACCAGAAAGUCACGGCUAACUACGUGCCAGCAGCCGCGGUAAUACGUAGGUGGCAAGCGUUAUCCGGAUUUAUUGGGCGUAAAGAGAGUGCAGGCGGUUUUCUAAGUCUGAUGUGAAAGCCUUCGGCUUAACCGGAGAAGUGCAUCGGAAACUGGAUAACUUGAGUGCAGAAGAGGGUAGUGGAACUCCAUGUGUAGCGGUGGAAUGCGUAGAUAUAUGGAAGAACACCAGUGGCGAAGGCGGCUACCUGGUCUGCAACUGACGCUGAGACUCGAAAGCAUGGGUAGCGAACAGGAUUAGAUACCCUGGUAGUCCAUGCCGUAAACGAUGAGUGCUAGGUGUUGGAGGGUUUCCGCCCUUCAGUGCCGGAGCUAACGCAUUAAGCACUCCGCCUGGGGAGUACGACCGCAAGGUUGAAACUCAAAGGAAUUGACGGGGGCCCGCACAAGCGGUGGAGCAUGUGGUUUAAUUCGAAGCUACGCGAAGAACCUUACCAGGUCUUGACAUCUUGCGCCAACCCUAGAGAUAGGGCGUUUCCUUCGGGAACGCAAUGACAGGUGGUGCAUGGUCGUCGUCAGCUCGUGUCGUGAGAUGUUGGGUUAAGUCCCGCAACGAGCGCAACCCUUGUUACUAGUUGCCAGCAUUAAGUUGGGCACUCUAGUGAGACUGCCGGUGACAAACCGGAGGAAGGUGGGGACGACGUCAGAUCAUCAUGCCCCUUAUGACCUGGGCUACACACGUGCUACAAUGGACGGUACAACGAGUCGCGAACUCGCGAGGGCAAGCAAAUCUCUUAAAACCGUUCUCAGUUCGGACUGCAGGCUGCAACUCGCCUGCACGAAGUCGGAAUCGCUAGUAAUCGCGGAUCAGCAUGCCGCGGUGAAUACGUUCCCGGGCCUUGUACACACCGC